rnacentral:rRNA from 1 species
UGGGGAAUUUUGGACAAUGGGGGAAACCCUGAUCCAGCCAUCCCGCGUGUGCGAUGAAGGCCUUCGGGUUGUAAAGCACUUUUGGCAGGAAAGAAACGUCAUGGGUUAAUACCCCGUGAAACUGACGGUACCUGCAGAAUAAGCACCGGCUAACUACGUGCCAGCAGCCGCGGUAAUACGUAGGGUGCAAGCGUUAAUCGGAAUUACUGGGCGUAAAGCGUGCGCAGGCGGUUCGGAAAGAAAGAUGUGAAAUCCCAGAGCUCAACUUUGGAACUGCAUUUUUAACUACCGGGCUAGAGUGUGUCAGAGGGAGGUGGAAUUCCGCGUGUAGCAGUGAAAUGCGUAGAUAAGCGGAGGAACACCGAUGGCGAAGGCAGCCUCCUGGGAUAACACUGACGCUCAUGCACGAAAGCGUGGGGAGCAAACAGG